rnacentral:rRNA from 1 species
AAGACCUUGCGCUUUUGGAGCGGCCGAUGCCUGAUUAGCUUGUUGGUAAGGUAAAAGCUUACCAAGGCUUCGAUCAGUAGCUGGUCUGAGAGGACGGCCAGCCACACUGGGACUGARACACGGCCCAGACUCCUACGGGAGGCAGCAGUGGGGAAUUUUGGACAAUGGGGGCAACCCUGAUCCAGCCAUGCCGCGUGAGUGAAGAAGGCCUUCGGGUUGUAAAGCUCUUUCAGCCGGAACGAAACGGUUACGGUUAAUACCCGUGAUUACUGACGGUACCGGAAGAAGAAGCACCGGCUAACUACGUGCCAGCAGCCGCGGUAAUACGUAGGGUGCGAGCGUUAAUCGGAAUUACUGGGCGUAAAGCGUGCGCAGGUGGUUUUGUAAGUCAGAUGUGAAAGCCCCGGGCUCAACCUGGGAACU